rnacentral:rRNA from 1 species
CCUACGGGAGGCAGCAGUGAGGAAUAUUGGUCAAUAGACGAGAGUCUGAACCAGCCAAGUAGCGUGAAGGAUGACUGCCCUAUGGGUUGUAAACUUCUUUUAUAUGGGAAUAAAAUGUUCCACGUGUGGGAUUUUGUAUGUACCAUAUGAAUAAGGAUCGGCUAACUCCGUGCCAGCAGCCGCGGUAAUACGGAGGAUCCGAGCGUUAUCCGGAUUUAUUGGGUUUAAAGGGAGCGUAGGUGGAUUGUUAAGUCAGUUGUGAAAGUUUGCGGCUCAACCGUAAAAUUGCAGUUGAAACUGGCAGUCGUGAGUACAGUAGAGGUGGGCGGAAUUCGUGGUGUAGCGGUGAAAUGCUUAGAUAUCACGAAGAACUCCGAUUGCGAAGGCAGCUCACUGGACUGCAACUGACACUGAGGCUCGAAAGUGUGGGUAUCAAACAGGAUUAGAUACCCCAGUAGUC